rnacentral:rRNA from 1 species
AAAACUUUCAACAACGGAUCUCUUGGUUCCCGCAUCGAUGAAGAACGCAGCGAAAUGCGAAAACUAAUGUGAAUUGCAGAAUUCCGUGAAUCAUCGAGUCUUUGAACGCACAUUGCGCCCUUUGGUAUUCCGAAGGGCAUGCCUGUCCGAGCGUCAUUG